GCCCUUGUAGUAUAAAUUAAUCACGCUAGCCUUGUAAACUAGAAAUGGAACCCAUAUCCCCUAGGGCA
rnacentral:tRNA from 1 species